rnacentral:rRNA from 1 species
UUGGGUACGGAAUAACUCACCGAAAGGUGUGCUAAUACCGUAUGACGACGUAAGUCCAAAGAUUUAUCGCCUGAGGAUGAGCCCGCGUAGGAUUAGCUAGUUGGUGGGGUAAAGGCCCACCAAGGCGACGAUCCUUAGCUGGUCUGAGAGGAUGAUCAGCCACACUGGGACUGAGACACGGCCCAGACUCCUACGGGAGGCAGCAGUGGGGAAUAUUGGACAAUGGGCGCAAGCCUGAUCCAGCAAUGCCGCGUGAGUGAUGAAGGCCUUAGGGUUGUAAAGCUCUUUUACCCGGGAAGAUAAUGACUGUACCGGGAGAAUAAGCCCCGGCUAACUCCGUGCCAGCAGCCGCGGUAAUACGGAGGGGGCUAGCGUUGUUCGGAAUUACUGGGCGUAAAGCGCACGUAGGCGGCUUUGUAAGUUAGAGGUGAAAGCCCGGGGCUCAACCCCGGAAUUGCCUUUAAGACUGCAUCGCUUGAACGUCGGAGAGGUGAGUGGAAUUCCGAGUGUAGAGGUGAAAUUCGUAGAUAUUCGGAAGAACACCAGUGGCGAAGGCGGCUCACUGGACGACUGUUGACGCUGAGGUGCGAAAGCGUGGGGAGCAAACAGAUUAGAUACCCUGGUAGUCCACGCCGUAAACGAUGAUAACUAGCUGUCCGGGCACUUGGGUGCUUGGGUGGCGCAGCUAACGCAUA